rnacentral:lncRNA from 1 species
AAUGCUGUGAUGUUGCUUAUCCUUCUGAGUUUUUAUAGAUAACACAUUGGGACUAAGAAAGAGGGAGGAAGUAAUAUGGUCAAAGCCGCUCCUUAGAAAGAUUUCUCUGGCAGCUGUGGGGACAGAGUAGAGGGAAGACAGAAUGAUGGUGAGGAGACCUGUCAAUGGCAACGGUUCAGACAAGUUGUGGGGAGGGCUCGAACAAGGGCAGAAGCCAGGCUGCAGGUGGCAUGAGGCAGUGUCACAUCAGUCUCACUCACUACUGUGGCCAAGUCUCCUUAAAUGUUUGCUGAGUGAAUGGAUGACUGAAUGGUGUCUCUGACAGAGACAUAUGGAUGAAGGAGAUAGAGGUAAAGUGCAGGGAGGACCCAUUGAUGACAAAGGGGUUUCCAGAUCAGUCUGUCACGGGGAGCAAUUCAAGAGAAGAGGUGGGGCCGGGCAUGGUGGCUCAUGCCUGUAAUUUCAGCACUUUGGGAGGCUGAGGUGGGCGGAUCACCUGAGGUUGGGAGUUCAAGACCAGCCUGACCAACAUGGAGAAACCCCAUCUCUACUAAAAAAUACAAAAAAUUAGCCAGGCGUAAUCCCAGCUACUCCAGAGGCUGGGGCAGGAGAAUUGCUUGAACCCGGGAGACAGAGGUUGUGGUGAGCCGAGAUGGUGCCGUUGCACUCCAGCCUGGACAACAAGAGCGAAACUCUGUCUCAACUUGAGUUGUAGAGCCUGGACUAGAGCCAGCCUCAUGUUCCCUUUACCACUUGCCCUUGGAGGGAGAGAUGCACAGGUUAAGAGCAUCUUAUUCCGUCUUUUCUUUCUUUUCUGGGCCAGC